AAUGAACGCUGGCGGCAUGCCUAACACAUGCAAGUCGAACGAAGGCUUCGGCCUUAGUGGCGCACGGGUGCGUAACGCGUGGGAAUCUGCCCUUGGGUUCGGAAUAACAGCGAGAAAUUGCUGCUAAUACCGGAUGAUGACGUAAGUCCAAAGAUUUAUCGCCCAAGGAUGAGCCCGCGUAGGAUUAGCUAGUUGGUGAGGUAAAGGCUCACCAAGGCGACGAUCCUUAGCUGGUCUGAGAGGAUGAUCAGCCACACUGGGACUGAGACACGGCCCAGACUCCUACGGGAGGCAGCAGUGGGGAAUAUUGGACAAUGGGCGAAAGCCUGAUCCAGCAAUGCCGCGUGAGUGAUGAAGGCCUUAGGGUUGUAAAGCUCUUUUACCCGGGAUGAUAAUGACAGUACCGGGAGAAUAAGU
rnacentral:rRNA from 1 species